rnacentral:rRNA from 1 species
UAAUUGUGUGCCAGCCGCCGCGGUAAUACGGAGGAUCCGAGCGUUAUCCGGAUUUAUUGGGUUUAAAGGGAGCGUAGGCCGGCUUUUAAGUCAGCUGUGAAAGUCCGCGGCUCAACCGUGGAAUUGCAGUUGAAACUGGAGGCCUUGAGUGCACACAGGGAUGCCGGAAUUCAUGGUGUAGCGGUGAAAUGCUUAGAUAUCAUGAAGAACUCCGAUCGCGAAGGCAAGUGUCCGGGGUGCAACUGACGCUGAGGCUCGAAAGUGCGGGUAUCAAACAGGAUUAGAUACCCUGGUAGUCCGCACCGUAAACGAUGAAUACUCGUGUCCCGCGAUAUAUUGUGGGACACUUAGCGAAAGCGUUAAGUAUUCCACCUGGGGAGUACGCCGGCAACGGUGAAACUCAAA